CGUACAUAGUAUAUCACAUAUUCAUAGGCAUUUUAUUUGCAAAUAUUGGGAUGCAUACUUGAUUUUUUAACAUAUAUUAAUGGCAGGUGAUCAAAUGACUGUAGACCGUCGGCUUACUUGAAGGCAGUAGUAGAGCAGCAAGAGAAGAGGCAGAUACGGCAGAUGACUAGGUGACUUAUUGAAUGUGAGGGGAGAAACAUCCCAUCUGUGGCCUAGAGAUCACAACACCAUAAUCAGGGCACCUGUCAACUGACCGGUUGAAAGACGGGGACCACCGAGAGAAAAGACAUGGUCAUACAGAAAGAGGGAAGAAGAAUUUUCUGAGGAAGAGCCUCUGGCAACAAAGUCUGACUCCCUCUGCUCCCCCACAUGUGAAAUUCUGUACCAUGCUAGGCACUGAGUGCUAGAGUCUAUGCAACGUGGGGUGAUUUCUGAAAGAGUGAUCGUGGCCGUUAAAGAAAAUACUGUUCAAAUCUG